CCCUUGCCACCCUCGGCACCACGACUUCCAGAACAACCGGAAGCAAAACAGCACGGGUUGGGCGGGAGGCGCCUGCGCGGUGCUUGCAGCGCCCUCUGGCGGCGGGAGGCCGGCCGAGCCUCGCUGCCGGCGACCUGAGUGGCACGUGCCCUCUGCAGGCACAAGACACUCCAGAUCUGGACAGUGGGGUCCCGCGAGGCUGGCUUGUCGUCUGCUGACGCGACUCCAUCGUGAGCGAAGCUCGUCCUUACUUUUCGAAGCCACCGAGUGUGGAGGUUGUUUGGAUUGGAGACGCAGGCUCUGGCUUGACCACCCCGGAGGCGGUUUUCUUUGACGAAGAAGCUCGCCCGUGGGGGGGGGGUCCCAGGGUCCGGGCGCAGGGGGACCGCCUCUGCCCAGGUCCUGCAGAUCUCCCCGCCCAGGACCCGCCACCGCGUGCUGCCUGCAGGAUCCCCGGAAACACACGCCCCUCUUCGCCCUCAAAACCUCCCAGCCCCACCCCUUCCUCCGAGAAGCCCUCCAGGUUCCCUCCCCGGGCAGGCCGUGCUGCUCUUCUCCUACUGCCUCCGCCACCGAAGCUGUACCCCGGACUCCGCCAUGCGAACAGUCCGUUGCAGAGCACGGGACGCCGGAAUCCGCCCGCGAGACGCCCCUGCGGUGAGGCUGGAGGGCUGCAUGCGAGGGGGCCGUAGGGACCGCGCUCUGCCAGUGCCCAGGAAGGCCGGGGCCCUGGCAGCCGGGCCGAGCGGUGUGAUAUCUGAGACUCGGCCGGGCAGCGAGCGGAAGCUCCGGGGAGGCAGCCUCUGGCUGGAGGCGGGAAGUACUUUCCAACAAUUGUCUGAAAAUAGAACGGGCUGGCUCACGAGGAAAUGAGUCCCCCGUCACGGGAAGGGAGCAAGCAGCCGCAGGAACAGGCACGGGAAUCCGAGCUCUCUGACCCCGGGAGGCCCCGAGUCCUGGGUUUCUCACCUGCGGGCACUCCCAAGUGUUGGGGGGGGGGGGGGGUAGAGGUAGAGGAAGCAGGACUGGGGUCCGGGCACCUAGCACCCAAACGUGCUGCCGGGAGGAAACACUGGUGGUGGCAGAGAGCAGUUUCUCCGGGACCCUGAGUGCGCAAAGAGUCGCUGCGGGGAACGCGCCUGGUCCCAUGGCAACUGUGCCCCUCUGGCCGGGCCUCAGUUUCCCUUUGUCCUCAAUUAGGGUCAGGGUAGAGGCCCUCGACGUCACACGCUGAUGUCCCAGGGCUCAGGAGCUCGUGCUCUGGAGACCCCACCCCGCGUAACCCACACUCCCGGGACCCAGGCUGAGGCUGAGUUCAGGGCCGCCCAGCUCUGGGCUCCGGAGUGAAAACGCAGGGGAGCCGGCUGUGAUCUCCCCACCCCUGCAAGCCUUUGAGGGGGCACACUCGUGUCAGCCACGGAGGGCAGGGCAGAUGAAAGCUGGGUGCUCCCGGGGCCCCUCUGCAUGGCUUGUCUCUGUGGGCCCCGGGGCUUCUGGGGGCCACAGUUUAGGAACCAGUGCAAGCAGGGCCGUGGACUGAGGAGUAGGGAAUCCCUUAGCCCAGCGACAUACUCCCAGGUAGCA